UUACGUGUGCUGUUAAGUGCAAAGCUGGCAAUUUGGAAAACGACACCAUUUAAAGGAACAAGCCAAACGAUGCCGUUUCCUUACCCACAGACGUUUGUUUCCUACCAAAAAUCACUUUCUUCUCUUGUGUGUCAUCUCUUCAUCUUCCUCAGCUCGCAGUUGCUUUAGCUUCGCACGUGUUCCUCCCUGGCACCUCCGUGCAUGUGUUAAGUGAAGCAAUUUUUGCAUCAAGCAUCACUUUAUUCACACAGUGCAGAAGGUGAAAGGCAAGCGCAAUUUGAGAAUUUUGCAGCAGGACGAGCUCCUCGUGCACAGUAACAAAGAAUCGCAAAGCAAGAAGCAAACACAAAUAAAGACAAAACCAACCCUAAAGGAAGGGUUUGCAUUUGCUCACUGCACUUGCAAGGCACCUUAUCAUUUGCGUGUUCAUGAUGCUGCCGUAGGAAAUGGCGUACCUUGAGUUUUCGGUUUUUUGUCACCAGAGACAUUUUGUUUAUAUUUCUGGCAGUUCAGCUUAUAGGUCAUUGCUUCGUUGGCAUAUUUGGUUUAUCUAAUAGAUGGUUACCAGCAGUACUGGUUUCGUCUUGUUUGGGGUUUUGAUAGUGAGCCAAGCUUUUACUGCAUAUGUGGAGCCCUCUUGUUUUUUGUAUUGCUUGGCCUAUCAGGAUGCUUCAUUACUUGUUAUGAUCGAAGAGUUCGCAACGAUUUGGCACAGCUUUGUCGAGAAAUCUGUCUUUGUUGCUGUCAUCCUGGUUUGUAGCAACACAUUCUUCAUCAAGCAUUGGUAAGGGAAAAACCAUGAUGGCACAUUUAAGUAUGGUUUCAGCCUAGUGAAGGGGAGUGUUAAUCAUUUCUCACACGAAGAGCAAAUAAGAGAGCUUCAGAGAAGAAACGACAAGCAGCAGAGAAGAGGAGACGAAGAACAUAUUAAAACAAAUGAUGAAGAUUAAGAUUUGGGAGUGAGAGUUUUAUAAUUGAGAAUGGACUAAUUUGAGACUUUUAAACAAAAUUUAGACACUAAUUUGAGUUAAACGUUGUCUGUCCACAUCAGCAUGUUGUUAACACGGCGAAUGACUUUUGGACUAACAUGGAUUCAUGUUUCUGAGAGUGGUGGAUCCAUUUGGUCAUUUUGCAGUCAGGGACUUAAUUGAUGCGAGUUGAGAAUUUUAGGGACCAUUUGGAGCAUUAACUCCAAUAGAAAAUUAAAAUACAUUGAAGUGUAAAUAAUGAUUGGUAGGUCCAGCUGAGAAAAGUGUUUUUGUUGUGUUCUGCACUUCUUUGUAUCCUAUAGUUGUGAUUGAGGUGAACUGAUAAUCUGAUAUGAAAUGUAUCCCAUCUAAUCUAUUUUUCAUCUAUUAUU